GACGAACGCUGGCGGCGUGCUUAACACAUGCAAGUCGAACGGAAAGGCCCUGCUUUUGUGGGGUGCUCGAGUGGCGAACGGGUGAGUAACACGUGAGUAACCUGCCCUUGACUUUGGGAUAACUUCAGGAAACUGGGGCUAAUACCGGAUAGGAGCUCCUGCUGCAUGGUGGGGGUUGGAAAGUUUCGGCGGUUGGGGAUGGACUCGCGGCUUAUCAGCUUGUUGGUGGGGUAGUGGCUUACCAAGGCUUUGACGGGUGGCCGGCCUGAGAGGGUGACCGGCCACAUUGGGACUGAGAUACGGCCCAGACUCCUAUGGGAGGCAGCAGUGGGGAAUAUUGCACAAUGGGCGGAAGCCUGAUGCAGCAACGCCGCGUGCGGGAUGACGGCCUUCGGGUUGUAAACCGCUUUCGCCUGUGACGAAGCGUGAGUGACGGUAAUGGGUAAAGAAGCACCGGCUAACUACGUG
rnacentral:rRNA from 1 species